AGCGUAGACGGAUGGACAAGUCUGAUGUGAAAGGCUGGGGCUCAACCCCGGGACUGCAUUGGAAACUGCCCGCCUUGAGUGCCGGAGAGGUAAGCGGAAUUCCUAGUGUAGCGGUGAAAUGCGUAGAUAUUAGGAGGAACACCAGUGGCGAAGGCGGCUUACUGGACGGUAACUGACGUUGAGGCUCGAAAGCGUGGGGAGCAAACA
rnacentral:rRNA from 1 species